rnacentral:rRNA from 1 species
AUGGCCGUCCAAGUGGCGACUUGCCACACCGCAGCGAAGCUGUGGAAUACCGUGCAGGGGAUGCUGACAUCGCAAACCCGAGCGCAAACCGUCAACGUCAGGAUCGCCCUCGCCAAUCUUCAGAAGGGAAACUCCACGAUCACUGAGUACGUUGGUAAGGUUAGAACUCUCUGUGAUGAACUCGUUGCUUCAGGGAAGAAGGUGGAUGAAGAGGACGUGGUGUCCCACAUCCUAGCUGGACUAGAUGAGGAGUUCGACCCUGUGGUGUCGGCCAUGUGCUCUCGGGUCGAGCCAGUCAAGGUCCCGGAGUUGUACUCGCAGCUCUGA